rnacentral:misc_RNA from 1 species
AAGUCGUAACAAGGUUUCCGUAGGUGAACCUGCGGAAGGAUCAUUAACACGUAUCCAAACGUUAAACCCCCCUGUGAACCUUCACCUGUACUCGUACGUCCGUUAGAAAAAGCAGCAAUCCCUGGUAAAUCAUCGCCGAACAGUUUUCGAUUCAGGGAUGUCUGCAAGGAGCGUGCAUGUUGUGCGAGCAAGUGGCCUGGCAUCCCCAAGCAGUUAGUGUCUGAAAGUGUCAUUAACUGUGUAAGGAUGACGCAGUCACGAUCGUUGGAGGCCCACACGGCCGACGACCGGGUCACUGGGCGCAAGCCCCCCUAUAACAAACGCUGCUAAUCGCGGCCGCGAUAAUACGCAGUCGACCAAAAACCGAACAACUGUUC